CCUACGGGCGGCAGCAGUGAGGAAUAUUGGACAAUGGACGAGAGCCUGAACCAGCGACGCAGCGUGAAGGAUGAAUGCCCUCUGGGUUGUAAACUUCUUUUAUAUGGGAAUAAAAUGUUACACGCGCGGGCUUUUGCAUGUACCAUAUGAAAAAGGAUAGGCUAACUCAGUGCCAGCAGCCGCGGUAAUACUGGGGAUGCGAGCGUUAUCCGGAUUAGUUGGGGUUAAAGGGUGCGUAGGCGGAUCGUUAAGGCAGGGGGCAAAGUGAGGGGCUCAACCUCGUACCGCCAUUGAAACUGGCGCUCUUGAGUGGAAGAGAGGUAUGCGGAAUGCGUAGUGUAGCGGUGAAAUGCGGAGAUAUCAGGCAGAACCCCGGUGGCGAAGGCAGCAUGCCGGCUUCCGACUGACGCUGAAGCACGAAAGCGUGGGGAUCGAACAGGAUUAGAUACCCUAGUAGUC
rnacentral:rRNA from 1 species